GACGAACGCUGGCGGCGUGCCUAAUACAUGCAAGUAGAACGCUGAAGGAGGAGCUUGCUCUUCUGGAUGAGUUGCGAACGGGUGAGUAACGCGUAGGUAACCUGCCUGGUAGUGGGGGAUAACUAUUGGAAACGAUAGCUAAUACCGCAUAAUAACAGUUGUUGCAUGACAACUGUUUGAAAGGUGCAAUUGCAUCACUACCAGAUGGACCUGCGUUGUAUUAGCUAGUUGGUGGGGUAACGGCUCACCAAGGCGACGAUACAUAGCCGACCUGAGAGGGUGAUCGGCCACACUGGGACUGAGACACGGCCCAGACUCCUACGGGAGGCAGCAGUAGGGAAUCUUCGGCAAUGGACGAAAGUCUGACCGAGCAACGCCGCGUGAGUGAAGAAGGUUUUCGGAUCGUAAAGCUCUGUUGUAAGAGAAGAACGAGUGUGAGAGUGGAAAGUUCACACUGUGACGG
rnacentral:rRNA from 1 species